rnacentral:misc_RNA from 1 species
GAUGAAGAACGCAGCGAAAUGCGAUAAGUAAUGUGAAUUGCAGAAUUCAGUGAAUCAUCGAAUCUUUGAACGCACCUUGCGCCCCUUGGUUAUUCCAAAGGGCAUGCCUGUUUGAGUAUCAUGAACACCUCAACUCUUGUGGUUUCCCACAAUGAGCUUGGACUGUGGAGGUUUUGUUGGCCCUGUGGUCAGCUCCUCUCAAAUGGAUCAGCUUACCGGUGUUUGGUGGCAUUACGGGUGUGAUAACUAACUACGCUCGUGGUCGUCUCCAAAUAACCUCCAGUGAUGGAGGUUCGCUGGAGCUUAUAAAUGUCUCUCCCCAGUGAAGACAGCCUUUGAACGUUCGAUCUCAAAUCAGGUAGGACUACCCGCUGAACUUAAGCAUAUCAAUAAGCGGAGGA